rnacentral:rRNA from 1 species
AUUGAACGCUGGCGGCAGGCUUAACACAUGCAAGUCGAGCGCCCGCCCGUCGUUUUAGUAAUUUCUGGGAAACUUCCUGAUGGACUGGGAUUACUACUGGAAACGUUAGCUAAUACCGCAUUCCAUCCGAUGUGCCCAGAUGGGCUUUGCUAGUAGGUGGGGUAAUGGCUCACCUAGGCGACGAUCCCUAGCUGGUCUGAGAGGAUGACCAGCCACACUGGAACUGGGACACGGUCCAGACUCCUACGGGAGGCAGCAGUGGGGAAUAUUGCUCAAUGGGCGCAAGCCUGAUGCAGCCAUGCCGCGUGUGUGAAGAAGGCCUUCGGGUUGUAAAGCACUUUCAGCGAGGAGGCGUUACUCGCAGAAGAAGCACCGGCUAACUCCGUGCCAGCAGCCGCGGUAAUAC